CUGAAAUGCAAGAAGAGCCUUCCUCUGCAGGACUUCCUGCAUCCCUCGCAAAGAAGCUAAGGAAAAGGUUCAGUUACCCAGACCAAAGACUGGGGCCAGAGCAGGGGCAAAGCGAGGUUGGGCAAAUCAUCUCAAGACCUUGCCCUCACACCUGCCAGUGCACAACAGACAGACAUCAUACCAGCAGAUUCCACUGAGAAAAUGUGCACCUGUAAACACAUCCACCAGGAGGCCUAUUGCACAAUUCAUUAGAGGCAAAAAUAAUAAGAUUUGUUCCUUCAAAAGCAUAUGAAUGUAGAUGUUACUGAAGCUGGGUGAUCGUACAUGGAGUUCAUAAUACUCUUGACUGCUGAGGAAUGAACAGGGCAGGAAGGACGGCAGGAGUCACUGCUGGAAACUGGCACGUUCCACACUGGUCCAGUCCACUCCUCCACCCACGCCCAGUCCUGCCCACACCGCCUGCCCUUACAGCCCCAACCUCUCAAAACCCAUGGACCACAGAGAGCUGUGCU